GUCACGACCGGUCGAAGGAUAUUCAGUUUGCCACCGUCUAUCAUACGACUCGACAUGCUACGUCGAUGGAUAUUCGACUUGCGACAUACCCGGUCACGACCGAUCGAAGGAUAUUCGGCUUGCCACCGUUUAUCAUACGUCCCGACGUGCACACCCAACCAAAGGCCGGACAAUGGAUAUUCGACUUGCCAUCGUUAUCC
rnacentral:lncRNA from 1 species